GCUGGUUUAGCUAUCUGGUGAAAGCACCCGACUCAUAAUCGGAUACAGGCGAGUUCGAUCCUCGCAACCAGCA
rnacentral:tRNA from 1 species